rnacentral:rRNA from 1 species
CCCCUAGUAACUGCGAGUGAAGCGGGAAGAGCUCAAAUUUAAAAUCUGGUAGUCUUCUGGCUGUCCGAGUUGUAAUCUGGAGAAGCGUUUUCUGUGUUAGACCGUGUACAAGUCUCCUGGAACGGAGCGUCAUAGAGGGUGAGAAUCCCGUCCAUGACACGGACUACUAAUACUUUGUGAUACGCUCUCGAAGAGUCGAGUUGUUUGGGAAUGCAGCUCAAAAUGGGUGGUAAAUUCCAUCUAAAGCUAAAUACAGGCGAGAGACCGAUAGCGAACAAGUACCGUGAGGGAAAGAUGAAAAGCACUUUGGAAAGAGAGUUAAACAGUACGUGAAAUUGUUGAAAGGGAAACGCUUGAAGUCAGUCGCGUUGUGCAGAACUCAGCCUUGCCUCGGCUUGGUGUACUUUCUGCACAACGGGUCAACAUCAAUUUUGGCCCAUGGAGAAAGGUGGGGGGAAUGUAGCGCUGUUUCGGCAGCGUGUUAUAGCCCUCUAUUGUAUACAUGGGCUGGGAUUGAGGAUCGCAGCACGCCCUUGUGGCCGGGGGUUCGCCCUACGUACCGUGCUUAGGAUGUUGGCAGAAUGGCUUUAAGCGACCCGUCUUGAAACACGGACCAAGGAGUCUAACAUGCUUGCGAGUGUUCGGGUGGAAAACCCUUGUGCGUAAUGAAAGUGAAAGUUGGGAACCUCCGCAAGGGGGUGCACCGACGCCCGGCCCUGACGUUCUCUGACGGUGCUGCGGUAGAGCAAGUAUGCUAGGACCCGAAAGAUGGUGAACUAUGCCUGAAUAGGGCGAAGCCAGAGGAAACUCUGGUGGAGGCUCGUAGCGAUUCUGACGUGCAAAUCGAUCGUCAAAUUUGGG